rnacentral:misc_RNA from 1 species
GCUAACACAGUUCAAUGAUUGAAGAAAGACAUAUUACUCAUUUGCCACUGAUCUAAUGAUUUGGGGCAAAGAAAAUCAUUCAGCUUCUUAUAUUCCAAGCGGUGCAUUUCGUGGCAAACCCAACACUGGGUUACGAAACUUCAAUGCACAGACGCAUCGAAGUCAAGAAGUUGCAAGAAAAAUAAUUUCACAACAUGAUUUAUGCAGAUAUAUAUUUCACAUUUUUUGUUUUUCCCUUUCUUUCCAAUCCAAUCAUCUUUUUAACAACUUUCAGAGGAGAAAGGACACAAACUUUAACCCAACAAAUCAGAUGCAUCAGAAUUAUACGUUUAACAAACCUAUCACCAGUAAUGCCCACCACCACACUCUAAAAGCAAGAAAGCCUGGAUGUGAAAACCGAACAGCAACGGUUGGCAUGUAGUGCGUCAGAUCAUCCUUGUUAAACCUAAAGACGGCUCCCUGCCUCAUGAAAGAUAGGAUCAGAUCUCAUCAAUGGAGAGGACAGACUAAAUGCUGCAUUAACGAGGGACCCUCUUCCGACUAAGGAUCUCUUGUUCUUUUAGUCGAUGCUGGAACCUAGCCAGGCGAGCUUGAAGACUAACCAGACCUGCUGCCUUGCGUGAGAGCACAAAGCUUAACUGGGUCACGUAGCUAUCAAUGAGACUGCCUGGUUGGUCAACUUCUGAGAGCAGUUUCAUUUCCUCACGAACAAUCUCCAUUGUAUCCUCUAUUUCUUUUCUAUGAGCCUUGAUUAAGGCCUCUUCCUCCUAGAAACAACCCAAUAAAAAAGAUUAAUAGAAGCCAUAACACACUUCUAAAUAGACUAAACAAGCAUAAGAUAGCAAACCUCAAGUAUGGCAUCGAUAUUCCCAUCUGAAGGAGGAUCAGGAUCAUAAUGUCGCGAUCCAGUAUUAUUAGCAGUAUAGUUUCCAGUGCUCUGAUGCCUGCUGUUUGUGGAGGGGAGAUCAGAACCACCGUUGUCUUUUUUCAACCAGUUACCCAAAUUUUCCAACUUUUCCUCCCUAGAUCCUUUUCUAGGGGGCGGUGACACCUUUUGCAUUUUCUCUUCUGUAUCCACUGAGUUUUGAAAAUAUGACAAAUGGACUUUUUGGCUUGUAGAACCACCAUAAGAAUUAUUAAUUUCAAUCCACUCCUUAUCCACUAAGCCAGAAGAUCCACUUUCAUCUAGUCCAUUCAAGGGAUAACUUGAAGUAAAACUUGGGGAAUGUUUGUCAAAAUCAGUAGUAGGGUUGUAAGAAAAUGUUUCUUUUUCUACCACUCUUCUACCUGUGUCCACUGCCUUCAACUCUUGUUGUUGUUCAUAAACAUCAUCUACAUCAGAAAAAAUGGGCAAAGAUGAUGCUGAUGAUACAUCCUUGUUAGUUGGAGGUAAUGAAUUUGCAUUCUGAUCCUUUCUUGGAUUUCCACUUUUUGAAAGACUUUUAACUCGAUCUGCAUAUCUCAAAGUAUUUAGUGUAUGUUCACAUGAGCCUGCAUUUGGAGAAAUACAAGAGAUCAUAACCGUUCUAGAGUUUCCAACAAAAGAGUCACGGAGUACUUCUGUCAGUUUGCUCCCACGAAACGGUAUGUGAAUUUGGUCAUUGUCCAGAGCACGAAUGCAUUCCUUAAGGGCCAAAAGGCUCUUGUUAAUUUCAGCACCUUCAAUCCUUGUUUGUCGGUCAUUAUCUGUGGUGUCAGCACCUCGUUCACUACCAGCAAGAUCAAUAAAAGAAAUUUUCCCAAUCACUUUUCCACUUUUAGACUCAUUCCCAUCAUUAUUCCUCCUGGAGUCUUUUGCCUCGCUGUGCUUCUUAACAGCAAGCUGUAAGAUAGCAUGUGACCUUGAAGAUUCCUCAUUGGCACCAGUAGAUCCCGUACUUCUUGCUGCAUUUCCCUUCUCAAUAUAUUCCUUAACAAUCUGUACAUCAGAAACUUCAAAUUCUUGCAGUCCAACAAUACAAACUUGUUGUCGUCCAUCUUCUCGCAUGCAAAGUUUCUUUCUUUCACUGAGAAGAUCAAAGAGUUUUCCACCAUAUAUUUCAAAAAAGCUGAGCCACAGUCUGAACCUCUGAUUUCGAUAAACUGGCUGGUGCAACAACCUAACAAGGUCGUCAGCAGCUCUUAGAGGCAAUGGUUGCAUGGUGAAUGUCUUACCACUACCUGUCUGACCAUAUGCAAAACAUGUAGCUUUUGUUCGCUGGAAAAUGGUGGGAAUAAUUGGCUCCACAGUGACACGAUACACCUCAUCAUUGGUGACAUGCUGAUCCAGAACAGCAUCAAAACAAAACUCAUGCUUCUCAACAUAUGCAGUCAAGUCCACCUUUAGCUUAGGUUCAUGAACAGUUAAAGCAUUGUCGGAUACAGUUACAAUAUCAUCUUCCUUCCGAGCAAUUUCCUUCUUGUUAAGUGGUCUUUUGCGUACCACAACUUUAAUUUUUGCCACAUUAUUUUCCCUAUUACUGUUCUCUUUUUCGAUAAUAGCAGAUGGAACAGAUUGAUCUGGAUCAUUUUGCUCUCUUUGCUGUUUAACACUAGUUGCAUCGUCGUCAAAUCCUUUUGAGCCACCAUGCAUAAAUGGUGAUGGCUCGAAUGUUUCUGAGAUGACAUGCUCAGAUAGAAGCUCUGUAUCAUCCAUAGCAUGAAGAUCUAAAAGGCCAGCUCCAAAAUCACCCCUAAAGUCAGGAGAAUAAAAACCAUCUGAUACAGCCAUACCAGCUGAAGUUUGGGCAGUUGGUGUAUAAGACUCAGAACCUGAUUCUCCAUUGAAGUUGAGGUUUCUCAUUAGCUUGAAAAGCCUCUGCUUCUCUUCAGCAGAUUGUGCUCCAUAACCCUGCAUUAGGAGAUUAGGGAGGAGGCGCUGAUCGAUGCCUGUUGAAGCCAAGGGAGAGGCCAGAUGCUGUAAGCCCGCAGACUGGAGCCACCGUGCCAUGACAGCAUCGCCGGCAUCGCUUACGGGGCCUGCAUUGUGCAUAGGCCCACCGCCGGCAUGAUCAUAUAGAGCGGUCGCCGCAGCAGCAUUGCUCUGCUGCAUCUGGCCACCCAUGUGGCGCUGCGAGCGCUUUUGCGGAGCCAAUUUUCAAGAUCUAUUUAACACGGAAUUACGGAGAAAAUUCGAACCCAAAGCAGAACAUGAAAAAUGAAUCCUGUAAAUAUCGACUCCAAUCCACCAAAAUUCAGAGAUGUUAUCGAAGAGAAAUAAAGAGAUCCGUGGGGUGUAAAAAGGAAUGAAACUAAAAAUUGACGAGCAGAUCUGAAACUGUAGAAAUAACACAGAAACCCUAAAAUUUUUUGGCUGUAAAUGAGAAGGGAGGAAGAGGGGAGGAAGUCUGUGUUUGAAUUUUUCUGCGUCCGCCACAAAUGAGAAAAUGUUAAUAGCAGACAGCGAGAGAGAGAGAGAGAGAG